rnacentral:rRNA from 1 species
UUUGUUAUGCUACCUGAUCGUUGCUUAGGCAGGCGGCCCCAGGGCGGGGCCUGUAGCUUUCUUUUAGGCGCCUGCCGACGGCAUCAAAAGCUCGUUUUUUCAGUUUUCUGAGUAUAAAUACACAAUAAGUCAAAACUUUCAACAACGGAUCUCUUGGUUCUGGCAUCGAUGAAGAACGCAGCGAAAUGCGAUAAGUAAUGUGAAUUGCAGAAUUUAGUGAAUCAUCGAAUCUUUGAACGCACAUUGCGCCCGCUAGUAUUCUGGCGGGCAUGCCUGUUCGAGCGUCAUUUCAACCCUCAAGCGCUGUUCGCUUGGUGUUGGGGCUAUUUACGGGCGUACCCCGUAAGCCCUAAAAACCAGUGGCGGGCUCGCUAGCAUCCCGAGCGCAGUAAUUUAUUUCUCGCUUUGGGCGUGCGGCGGGUUUUCCCAGCCGUUAAACACCUCAUUUUUAAAAGGUUGACCUCGGAUCAGGUAGGAAUACCCGCUGAACUUAAGCAUAUCAAUAAG